UACAGAGGCCACGAGCGUUAGGCGGAAUCACUGGGCUUAAAGCGUGUGUAGGUGGAUGACUAAGUACCUUGUGAAAUCCCACGGCUCAACCGUGGAACUGCUUGGUAUACUGGUUGUCUUGAGGCACUCAGGGGCGAGCGGAACAAAUGGUGGAGCGGUGAAAUGCGUAGAUAUCAUUUGGAACGCCAAUGGUGAAGACAGCUCGCUGGGGGUGUACUGACACUGAGACACGAAAGCCAGGGGAGCGAACGGG
rnacentral:rRNA from 1 species